ensembl:ncRNA lncRNA:CR45168 long non-coding RNA:CR45168
AGCAGCGGCGGCGGCAGCGAAAUAAUAAUAAUAACUGUUUAUGUGCAAAACUGUGCAAAAUAUAAAAGGGGACGCUUCAAAAGGUUGCCAAAAGGCAGCCCUACUUGCAACCCUAAAUACAACUCUGGAAAGUGAGCACGCAUCCCUGGCUCUUCGGCUUCCCUCGGCGCAUUUUUUUCAAAGCGAAACGGCAGAAAAAUGCUCUGGCAUUUUACGGAUUUCUAAUUGUAUUAUUUAUGUGAGAAAAUUGCAAAUAAAAGUGAGUCCAUCAUGCCACCCAAGAUGGAGCCGAUUAGCGUGCGCACCGCGCGUCUGAACAACCUGAUUCUGGGC